UGCCGGGUGGGGAUGACCCCUCCCCCCUCCCCCCUGUCCCCUCCCUUGUCACCUCCCACCGGUGAUGUCACGGCCGGGGUCGCGCUGGUGGCCAGGAGGGGGGGUGGGGACAGACGAUGGUCACUGGCCACCCACCCCCCCCCAGCACUCAGGGACCGGCACCAGCCCGGGAUGCUGAACUGGGGAUACUGGGACUGGGGAUAUUGGACCUGAGGGGUGCUGGACCUGGGAGAUACUGGAAUUUGGGAUGAUGGAACUGCGGAUGAUGGAGCUGGGGGAUACUGGAGUUGGGGUUGCUGGUGUUACGGCCAUGCUGGCGUGGGACUGGGUCCCGCGCCUCAGCGGCGUCUCCCAUCGCCACCAGUGCCAACUGGUGUGCCAGUGCCAGUCCCUGGGCUGCCACGUCGUGCUGCAGCUGCGGGAGGAGCCGAAAUCCCAAAUCCUGGAAGUCCUCAGGAGCCGGCGGAGGGACGUGAGCACAGUGGCACCGUGGCAUCGCUGAAUUCGGGUGUUUGUCACCCCUCGUGCCACCCUGUGAGCCCCUUCCCCUCCGACAGGAUCCUCCCGUGACGCCCUGCCGCCUGUAAUUAAUGGCAGUGCUGCUAAUUAAAGGUGUUUAUGGA